ensembl:lncRNA
UUUUUUUUUUUUUUCUGUUCAAGACUUUUUCUACCUUUCCUGUCUACUACAUGAUCUGAUCUCCUAGGCUCUGAGCUUUUGUGCAAGCUACCACAGGACACACUAAGGGUUGUGUUUCAUACCUGCCCUUCUAUGGUAGCUGGCACCAGGUUAUCAUGGAGUAACUGCUGUGGUUCCACUUUACAACCUAGCAAAUCAGAGGCUGACUUGUGUGCCAAAACAAAAAUAUACUUUUUCCACAGAAUUUGUUAUGGCAAGGGCUUUCCUCCAUUUAAUUUCGGGUCUUGUUAGCUAUUUUAGUUAGUCUGCUGUGGGUGUUGUGGGUAGUAUUUUGCUUUGCCCAUUCGCAGUGCUUGCCUGAAGGUGGCGUUUUUCUGGUUUAUUAUCUUAGGCUAGCUGCCUCUUGUGAGGCGCAAGUCUGCAGAUCCAUUUGUCCGAUCUCUUUCCUUGUGUAUGUAACUUGCAGUCCCCUUCUCCAUCUGCAGUAUCAGGAGCUGAGUGGUCAAAGCUCUUCCGCUGCUGUCUUUGGGAUAAAUCUGUGUUCUGAUAUUUCAUCAGUGGACUCCAGCGCACAUAACCUUUCUGGCAAAAGAGGAUUUCUCUCUGUCUUGGAGGCCAGAGCCUUCUGUUAGCUAUGAUCUCAGAGCAAGUUUCACUAACAGGUUUUAACACACCAUCUCCUGUAUGUCUCUCUUGAAAGCAGCUAUGUGGAAAGCUACAUAGGUAUUUGGAAGCACAUCUAUUUCUUUUUCAGCACUACAAUCUAGCUGACUGCAAGAACCUUCCCUUUUAAAACAAGUAUAAAGCAAAAGGCAGGGAAAACACAAGGACUGAAAGCUAUGCUGACUUGAAGACCUGGUUUCUAGUACACCCAAUUCAACAAAAAGGGUCCUUUUGGUUUCAAACAUUUUGGUCAAGGACUUUCUGAACUAAGAAUCAAUGACUUAUCAAUUGUUUCUUUAUUAGUUAAGGGGUCUUCAGCUUCAAGGAAAUGCUGUGGGCAGAAUAUACAUUAGCUUUCUUUUUAAUUUUUAUUAUUUUUUUAUUAACUAGGAGAGGUUUGAAGGCAACUUUAAAAAAAGUCUCCUGAAGUCCUCACCUUUCCAGUUCUGUUACGUGAUGUUUAUUUUAUGCCACAGUGCUGUGUAGAUAGAGACUUCAACCAAGCUGGUCAACUUCCCCAUCCCAGCUGCUCUCACACUUGCUCACAGAGCUGCAGCAGCUCACUGUCUUGCCACGCUUGUUCUGGCAGCUGCAGGGGAAAAAAGUAUGAUAAUAAAAGAAUCAUAGGGGAAGCUUUGUUUUCACUUCAGGAACUCAGAUGUCCAUUCGGCCUGAGUCUUCUAGUGUAUUACUAGGCUAGUCUAUUACUCUGGGGCAUAGUGGCUCAUUACGUUGGGAUUGCAGUGUGAGGACUGUACCUUUUUUUGGCAUUUCCCAGGGGAGACAGCUGCUGUGGAGCUGCGGGAAGGACACCAGUACCUGCACAAAAAAGCUUGCAGCUACAAGAAAUACUUUAUAUACUUUAUACACUUUAUACAUUUUCAUAUGUAAAUUUUCAUGUAUUUAUAUACUCUAUAUCUUCAAGUCAGCAUCGCUUUCAGUCCUUUUUUUCCCUGCCUUUGCUUUAUGCUUGUUUUUUCUCCCCUGUACAUGUGUUUUCUGAGGUGUUGAUCCCAUGCAAACUAGCUUUACAUCAUCACAGCAAAACUGUAACUGAAAUGGGGACAGUCAACCUUUUAUUUAAUUUUGUGUCUCUGUCUUUUGUUUCUAUGCACCUUGGCAUUUCCUCCACAGGGAAUGAAAAAUCCAUUUCCUGCAAAGAACCCUCCUACUCUUGUACAUUCUCUUCCAUACCUGUCUUAACCACCAUGCUUUAAAAAAAAAUUCAAACUAGUCUUUGAACUGCUCUUUUAUACAUUGCAUAUCACAUAGUGUUUGGGCCUGCCCUAAAAUGAGGUAUACAUACUUUUAAUUGUUAAAUAAAGCAGGACCCCUGUCAGCCUGAUGAUGUUUGUAGGUGUUUUCAAUUUUUUUGCUACAAAGAGGGCCAGAGAUGAAGACACUAAACCUAAACAAGUAAAACUUUGCCUUAAACUUGCAGUAUGUGAAAUACUACUCCGGGGCCCGGAGAAGCGUGUGACUAACCAGCAGAGCUGCAGCCCAGACCGCCAUCUUCAGUUCGGGUAAGGGCGCUGGCGUCAGGCGGCUCCGCGGCACCAUGGCAACGGCGGCCAUGUCGAGCGCGGGCAACCGGCAGGCCGGCAGCAUCCAUGGCGAGUGAGGGCGAAAUGGCCGCC